rnacentral:tRNA from 1 species
GCGGGUAUAGUUUAGUGGUAAAACGUUAGCCUUCCAAGCUAAUUAUGACAGUUCGAUUCUGUCUACCCGCU